rnacentral:lncRNA from 1 species
UAAUGUCCCCUCCAUCCGGGCAGGGGAUGUCCCGUGACUCAGAGCCCGGUUUCCUGCAGGAGUUAAUGGUGUUUGUUUUGCAGGGAAUGUCUCGCCCAGCCCUCUGAGGGCUGUGGGCACAGCCUGGCACAGGUUAGCUCAUGCUGAGCUGGAGAGGAAGUCGAGCCCUGUGAGCAUCCCCCUGUCUGUCCCACUGCUCCCAGACUGCUCCAGUGGACAUUUCAUUUGCUGUGCUGCAAUUUUAGCGUCACUUACAAUCUCCACCUGUGACACAUUCCCUCCCUGCUGCCCAGGGCAGCGCUGGGCAAGGCAGCCUGGAGCUGUUCCAGCCCCCUGACUCCCACCAGGGCCCUGGAUCAGGGAUCCCCAGGCACUGCCACCCGCUCACAGCUGGCUUUUUUCCUUUCCCAUUUCCAUUUUCUGUAAACGGGCCUUCUCCUCGGUUCUGUUCCUGUUAGAACUUGUGGAACUUGGAAUCGCAGGUGGUGUUUGCUCCGGCAAGCCUGGGCUCGGUGGGGGCCGAGGGGUUCGCUCCCCGCCGUGCAGAGCCGUGUGGGCAGCUCGGGGCACGUCCCAUCCCUCCCUUUCUCUUUCAGACAUCCCAGGGUUUCUUCUGGCUCCCCUCGAGCCGCCGGGGCGGGGGCUGGGGGAGGAAUGCGGCGUUACCGCAUUGCUGAGCGCGCCCAGGUGAGCCACACCUCAGCCCGGCUUCCACACACCGUAGCCGCAGGGACUAUAUUUAUUUUUUAUUUUUUUCCAGCUCUGUGCGUCCCCCUGCUCGGAGCUGCUGGUCCUCAGCGUGACGAGCCUGUGUCAGUCGGGGUGGGGAUGGGAGGGGGUGACACCAACACCAACGCGACAGGAGCAGACACCUGGAGUCACCUGGUGAGGCAGCGCGUUUAAAGCCUGCGAGGCUCCGCCGAGCUCAGAGGCUCUCGGGGCUGCCGGGGGGACACGGGGACAGCGCCGGCGCCGCGGGGCACAGGGCACAGGGCAGGUGAGGUUUGGGGCAGCUGCGGGUGUGUGCUGGCAGCUUUUCCUCCCCUGGGCUGUCCCACGGGGCUCCUUUCCCUGCAGGAGACACUCACGGGAGGUUUUGAUGGAUUUCUCGUUUUCCUGGCACGAGGCGAGUUUGGAUGCGGGAUUGAGCCUGAAAGAGCAGGGCGAGGGUGGGGCUGGAGCACGGGGAAGGGGUGGCUGGGGCUGGACGGGCUGUGCGUGCUCCCUCCAUCCCUUCCCUUCCAGCCCCGCAUUUCCUCCUGGCAGCAGCGGGGCUGGGGCAGGGGCUCGUUGCCUCACAGGCAAAUUCAGUUUGAGCAUCUGAUUUUCCUCUUCAUUAUUCUUGAUUUUCCCCCCAUGUUAUUCCGUGUAGAUUAAUUAAAAGUACCUCCCUGCAAAGUGAGAAGGAAGGAGGACCUGGACUGAGCCUUUGAACCG